CCUACGGGAGGCAGCAGUGAGGAAUAUUGGUCAAUGGGCGGAAGCCUGAACCAGCCAAGCCGCGUGCAGGAAGAAGGUACAGCGUAUCGUAAACCUCUUUUGUCCGAGGACAAAGGCGAAGACUAGUCCCCGGAUGAGGGUACCUGAAGAAAAAGCAUCGGCUAACUCCGUGCCAGCAGCCGCGGUAAUACGGAGGAUGCGAGCGUUAUCCGGAUUUAUUGGGUUUAAAGGGGGCGAAGGCGGCCUGUUAAGUCAGAGGUAAAAGGUCGGGGCUAAACCCGGGAGAGCCGUUGAAACUGGUGGGCUGGAGUUGGAGAGAAGUACGCGGAAUGCGCGGUGUAGCGGUGAAAUGCUUAGAGAUCGCGCAGAACCCCGAUUGCGAAGGCAGCGUACCGG
rnacentral:rRNA from 1 species